ACUUGGGGCAGUGGCGUGCACCUGUGGUCCCAGCUCCGUGGGAGGCUGAGUGGGGAAGACCGUUUGAGCCUAGGAGUUCUGGGCUGUAGUGCGCUAUGUCCAUUGGAUGUCCACACUAAAUUCAGCAUCAAUAUGGUGACCUCCUGUGAGCAGAGACUACCCAGUUGCCUAAGGUGUGGUGAACCAGCCCAAGCUGGAGACAGAGCAGGUUAAAACUCUUAUGCUGAUUAGUAGUGGGAUUGAAUCUGUGACUAGCCACUGCACUCUAGCUGGGCAACAUGGUAAAACCCUGUCUCU
ensembl:misc_RNA Metazoa_SRP Metazoan signal recognition particle RNA